CGGACGGGUGAGUAAUGUCUGGGAAACUGCCCGAUGGAGGGGGAUAACUACUGGAAACGGUAGCUAAUACCGCAUAACGUUGCAAGACCAAAGAGGGGGACCUUAGGGCCUCUUGCCAUCGGAUGUGCCCAGAUGGGAUUAGCUAGUAGGUGGGGUAAUGGCUCACCUAGGCGACGAUCCCUAGCUGGUCUGAGAGGAUGACCAGCCACACUGGAACUGAGACACGGUCCAG
rnacentral:rRNA from 1 species